rnacentral:lncRNA from 1 species
UUUUUUUUUAAAUUUCUGCAAAACUAACUUUUCCCUAUAGUAUGUAUUUUUCAUUCCUUAAAAAGACACUAUAUAUUUGGUCAUAUUUUCCUUAUGAGUCUUAAACUGUACACCCUUGGAAUUCAUACACUCCUGUUAUAAAAAUGCCACAGAGAUCAUUAAAAUAAAAUUUUCCACUAUAAUGGAUAUGAAAACUGAGGACCAGAAAAAUUAGGCAAUUUGUUCAAAACUGCAAGGGUAUCAUGUGCAAGUCGAUAUGAGAAUUGCUUCCAACUUAAUUCAGAGUCUUUACAUGGUGAUUCCACCUCUUAAUUUCAAUUUUAUUUUGUAUUCAACUUAUAGCAGUUAAAUUAAUAAUAGUUAUUUUUGGUAAAGCUCUCUUAAAACCAAUAGACUAUUACCCUUCCUUUUUUUUUUUUUUUUUUUUUAAGAUGCCAGUAUGUGUUUCUGCUGCUGUGUGACAUGUUUGAUAUUUUAAGUGCCUAGUAACGUACAAUAAGCCAAUUGGGCAUUCAGUUGAAGGUUGUUUUAUGAUGCGUAACAUUUGUGUUAUUUAUGAUUAUAAUCAAAUCUAAAUGUUGACAGUGAUGAUUGCUAUAUAUCAAUCUUUACUCCUGCAUUUUAUAGUUCAUCACUUAUUUAAAACUGUAUCUCUUUAUUACCCUGUAAAUAAAAAAUAUUGAAACCACAGAGAGAGUAACAAAUCCUCACAUGCAAACAUAACUAGGAGGAUGCUGCAGGUAAAGAAAUACAGUGUUUUCCCCGGGGAGGCAAGAGAUGACCUAUUACAGAUCACCACCCUCUUUUCUAUUUGCACGUGAAAGUAGAAACCACUAGUACAUUAGCGUUAAGAGCCUUUUUUUCGCUUAAAACAUUCUCACAUAAUACCUAGGAGUCCAACUCUAAAAAAAGUGGAAAAUUAAUUAUCCGCCAGAGAAAAUAUUUAAGAAUUCAUAUUCUUCAGUAUGGAGGUUCCUCCAAAAAUUGAAAAUAGAACCACCCUAUGAUCCAGUAAGCACACUAUUGGGUAUUCACCCCCAAAAUACAAAAACAAUAAUUCAAAGGGACACAGGCACCCCUAUGUUUAUUACAACAUUAUUUACAAUAGUCAAACUAUGGAAGCAACCCAAGCGUCCAUCAACAGACGAAUGGAUAAAGAGAAUGUGGUCCAUAUACACGAUGGAAUAUUAUCCAGACCAUAGAAAAUAAUGAAAUUUUGCCAUUUGAAACAUGAAUAGAGCUAGAGAGUAUAAAACUAAAUGAAAUAGAAAAAGAGAAAUAACAUAUGAUCUCACUCAUAUGUGGCAUUUAAGUAAGCAAAGGAGCAAAGGGAAAAAAAAAAAAAAGAGACAAACCAGACUCUUUAACUAUAGACAACUAAUUGUUACCAAAGGGGAGGUGGGUAGGGAUUAAAAAGUAUAUUUAUCAUGAUGAAAACAAAAUAAAAUAAAAUGAUAAAACAAGGGAGAAAUGGCCUGGGGGGCGGGGGGUGGGGUGGGGGAAGUAUUCCCAUCGUUUAGUUUUGUGGAAAUGGUAUGUUGUGGUCCUUUUUAGAAUUAUAGUUUUUUUUUUUUUUAAAGGAUUUUAUUUACUUAUUCAUGAGAGACACACAGAGAGAGGCAGGGACACAAGCAGAGAGAGAAGCAGGCUCCAUGCAGGGAGCCCGAUGGUCUCCAGGAUCACGCCCUGGGCUGCAGGCGGCGCUAAACUGCUGGGCCACCCAGGGAUCCCGAAAUUAUGUUUUUUUUUUUUUUUAAUUU